CGGGGUGUGGCUCAGCUUGGCUAGAGCGCUUGAUUUGGGAUCAAGAGGUCGCAGGUUCGAAUCCUUUCACCCCGA
rnacentral:tRNA from 1 species